GAGUCAAAGGAGAUAAUUUUGAAGCUUAAGAUUUGCCUGCCCUGCUGGACUUCAGACUUGCAUGGGGCCUGUAGCCUCUUUGUUUUGGCCAAUUUCUCCCAUUUGAAUGGCUGUAUUUACCUAAUGCCUGUACCUCAUUGUAUCUAGGAAGUAACUAACUUGCUUUUGAUUUUACAGGCUCAUAGGCAGAAGGGAAUUGCCCUGUCUCAGAUGAGACUUUGGGCUGUGGACUUUUGAGUUAAUGCUGAAAUGAAUUGAGACUUUGGGGGACUGUUGGAAAGGCAUGAUUUGUUUUGAAAUGUGAAGAUAUGAGAUUUGGGAGGGGCUGGGGCGGAAUGACACGGUUUGGCUCUGUGUCCCCACCCACAUCUCAUCUUGUAGCUCCCAUAAUUCCCAUGUGUUGUGGGAGGGACCCAGGGGGAGAGACCCAGUGGGAGAUGACUGAAUCAUGGGGGUGGGUCUUUCCCAUGCCGUUCUGGUGAUAGUGAAUGGGUCUCAUGAGAUCCGAUGAUUUGAAAAAAAAAAAAAAAAGGUAGUUUCUCUGCAGAAGCUCUUUUUGCCUGCCGUCAUCCAUGUAAGAUGUGACUUGCUCCUCCUUGCCUUCUGCCAUGAUUAUGAGGCCUCCCCAGUCAUGAGGAACUAUAAGUCCAUUAAACUUCUUUCUUUUAUAAAGUGCUCAGUCUCGGGUAUGUACAAGUUUCAUGAUUCACUAGAAGGACUCACAGAAUUCGGCAUAUAG
rnacentral:lncRNA from 1 species